UUAUGGCCAUAUCAUGUUGAAACACCAGUUCUCAUAUGGUCACCAAAGUUAAGAAAUAUUGAGCCUGGUCAGUACCUAGAUGGGUGACUGCUUGGGAAUACCAGGUGCUGUAUG
rnacentral:rRNA from 1 species